AACGAACGCUGGCGGCAUGCCUAACACAUGCAAGUCGAACGAAGGCUUCGGCCUUAGUGGCGCACGGGUGCGUAACGCGUGGGAAUCUGCCCUUAGGUACGGAAUAACUCAGGGAAACUUGAGCUAAUACCGUAUAAUGACUUCGGUCCAAAGAUUUAUCGCCUGAGGAUGAGCCCGCGUCGGAUUAGCUAGUUGGUAGAGUAAAAGCCUACCAAGGCGACGAUCCGUAGCUGGUCUGAGAGGAUGAUCAGCCACACUGGGACUGAGACACGGCCCAGACUCCUACGGGAGGCAGCAGUGGGGAAUAUUGGACAAUGGGCGCAAGCCUGAUCCAGCAAUGCCGCGUGAGUGAUGAAGGCCCUAGGGUUGUAAAGCUCUUUUACCCGGGAAGAUAAUGACUGUACCGGGAGAAUAAGCCCCGGCUAACUCCGUGCCAGCCGCCGCCGUAACAC
rnacentral:rRNA from 1 species